UAGUUGAAAUUCAAGUGUGUAAAUAUUUGAAGUGGUAUAACUUGCUGCUGGGAUUUUAUCUAUUCCAAGUCUCAAAUUUACAAUGAAGAAAGUAUGUUAUAUAUUGAGUAUCAAAUAAUAUUGAUUCCUGAUCAAAUAAUUGAGCAUCUGAAAUAUAAGAUCACAAUGGUUGUAUCUUUCAUCAUAUGAAUAUAAUUUAAACACUGGAAGAUAUUCUCAUGUGAAAGGGUGUUUUAAGUGGAUAUUUUAAAUUAUUUCAUUUUUUGAACAAAUAUCAACUAAUAGUGUGUUUACAGAGGUGUGUCCAUAUGCCUCUCAUUGUUCUAAUGGAAAUGGUAAUAUUUACUAUUCCUGAGGAAUGUAAUUAUCCUGACAUGAUUAUAGAGUUAAGUAAUGCUUACUCAUCAGUGUUAUUAUAUUGGCGAUUAUUUUAGCAUUCUUAAGAUUUUUCUACAUGUGUAAGUUAAAUGGUAAAACAUUGUUAGUUAUCUGUAUAUUGCUACCUGACAAUCUGAAAUAAAUAUAUGAAUUGUUGAAAGUUGUCUGGAAGAUCAUAUGGCAAAAAUUUAACAUUACUGUGUAGAGAGUUGGGAAUGGAAGAACUGCAUCUGCUUUCUGCAUUGAAAUUUUAAAGAUAUUUCAAAAGGAACAUUAAAACAACAAAAGGGAAUUUUAAAGAUACAACCAAGUUGUGCCUCUCUGUAUCCUUGCCUGUUGACAUCUUGGGAGUAUUGGGCUGUUAUAUCCAAUUUUGUAUUCCCAGUGGCCAUUCUGAAUAGUUUGUGAGUGAUCACGAAGAACGUGUAAUUUAGAAACUCUAGUACAGCAGAGAGUUAUACACACUGAAACAGUAUUGUGGGAUCCAAGAAGAGAGUAUGGGAGAAGAUGGGAUUUGAGAUGUACAUGAUGAAAAGAAGAGAUUUAUAAUAACCUGAGGACAGCUGACAUCAGGAACAUUCCUCAUGCUAUGGACUUCCUCAAUUUAAAAGUCUUAUCUGGGAACCACAGGAGAUGAUAGUUCCAUGAAUACACACUUCUGCCCUCUUUGUUCAUAAUUGCAAGAAUUGGUAUCACCAGACCUCUCAUUGACAGUAUUAUUCAUUCAUGUGUUCUUCACCUCCGAUAUCCGGUCCCAGGAAUACCCCUUGGCGAAAUUAUUAAGGUUAAUUCACGGGAUAUGAGGCCAAGCGUGAAUGCAGACGAAUUCCUUAGACAUUGUUUUUCAGAGAGCCUUGGCUGCCUACCUGUUGAUCCCAGAAUAACCUUAAAGGUGAUGACUUAACAGAAAACUGAUGCUAUUGCUUCUGUCACCAUCUUCAAAUCCAAAAGACAGUCUUCAUAAUGUAUGGAGACUUCUGUUUCAUGUGUUGAAGUGGCUAUUCCUCACAGAUCAGAAAAACUGGACUGAGAAAGCUCAAGUUUGAAAGUCCUAAAGAGUGUCAUUGGAGGGAAUUGUAACCAGGCAUGUUGAAUGUUUUCAUUAUUGACACUGGACUAAAUCUCAGGAGCUUGAAUGUGGGAGAUGUUAUUAUACAGAAAUGCUCAGGAUGGUGUGAUUGCAAGGCUUCAUUUGAGUGUUCCCAUAAGUAUAAAGUGCAUAUAUUUAUAAUUUUCACUUACUACAGGGUAAAUUUAAAAUUGAUAAAAAAAUUACCUUUUUCCAUAUUUCAAAAGGCACAGAAAUUUGUGAAGGAUAGUAUUUUUUACUUAAAUGCUUUUUUCCCCUCCUAAUUCUACUUCCCAACAUUAUCUACUGUUAAUGGAGUUUUGUGCAUAUGCUUUUGGGGUAUAUUGAUGAACAAAUGGUUACGCUAGUAGUCUUUUGGAUACAUAUAUUAGCUACAAAUUUUCUAGGCAGUUACAUGCUUUAUAUAGAAAUAAUUUUUAAUUUCUCUGGCUAAUUUGUUGAAAACAGUCUUAGCAUUUCCACCUUAUUGGAAUUAAGUAUAUCCAAAAUUUAUAUUCUGAGUCAACAGUAGAAAUUUUCCCCAAAUGGUAUAAAUUGUCCUCAUCAAUCUUGUCUCCCACUAUUUGUUUAUGAGACUUCUGUUUUCUUGAACAGUAGAAACAUAUUUCAAUAUUUUAAUCUUUGAAAAUGUGGUAUUACAAAAAAAUUGCUUUCCUUCCCUUACUGUUCAGUUCAGUCAUCUUCAUAUGUCCUUAAACCUUACUAGUCACUUACUUCGUUUUCCUCUGUGGGUUUUUUUUUUUUUUCAUUUCCCUCAGAAUAUUAGUAUUUUUGGUACUGGUUUCUAAAAUAUCAUAUAUGACUAAGGAUGUUAAACAUUUGCCAUGCAUUGCUAAUGAAAUACCAUGUGGUUCUCAUCACCGUUUACUGUGAUGUUUUACUUUUUGG